GGACCGCUAGCUCAGUGGUAGAGCAACCGGCUGCAGCUGUUCCAAUCUGAUAGCUUGGAAGAGUGGUUCCGGUAGGUCUCGUGUUCAACUCACGAGCGGUCCU